UACAGAGGGUGCAAGCGUUAAUCGGAAUUACUGGGCGUAAAGGGUGCGUAGGUGGCUGUAUAAGUUAGAUGUGAAAGUCCUGGGCUUAACCUGGGAAGUGCGUCUAAUACUGUGUAGCUAGAGUACUGUAGAGGGAAGUGGAAUUUCCGGUGUAGCAGUGAAAUGCGUAGAGAUCGGAAGGAACAUCAGUGGCGAAGGCGACUUUCUGGACAGUUACUGACACUGAGGCACGAAAGCGUGGGGAGCAAACAGG
rnacentral:rRNA from 1 species